GAUGAAGAACGUAGCGAAAUGCGAUACGUAAUGUGAAUUGCAGAAUUCAGUGAAUCAUCGAAUCUUUGAACGCAUAUUGCGCUCUUUGGUAUUCCGAAGAGCAUGCUUGUUUGAGUAUCAGUAAACACCUCAAAGCUUUUGGAUUUUUUAAUCGAAAAGCUUUGGACUUGAGCAAUCCCAACACCAAUCUUUUUGAGAUCGGUGGCGGGUUGCUUGAAAUGCAGGUGCAGCUGGACAUUCUCCUGAGCUAAAAGCAUAUUCAUUUAGUCCCGUCAAACGGAUUAUUACUUUUGCUGCAGCUAACAUAAAGGGAGUUUGACCGUAUUGGCUGACUGAUGCAGGAUUUCACAAGGGUCGGCAACGAUUCUUGUUAAACUCGAUCCCAAAUCAAGUAAGACUACCCGCUGAACUUAAGCAUAUCAAUAAGCGGAGGA
rnacentral:misc_RNA from 1 species